rnacentral:rRNA from 1 species
AGUGAACGCUGGCGGUAGGCCUAACACAUGCAAGUCGAACGGCAGCACAGGAGAGCUUGCUCUCUGGGUGGCGAGUGGCGGACGGGUGAGGAAUACAUCGGAAUCUACUCUGUCGUGGGGGAUAACGUAGGGAAACUUACGCUAAUACCGCAUACGACCUACGGGUGAAAGCAGGGGACCUUCGGGCCUUGCGCGAUUGCAUGAGCCGAUGUCGGAUUAGCUAGUUGGCGGGGUAAAGGCCCACCGAGGCGACGAUCCGUAGCUGGUCUGAGAGGAGGAUCAGCCAAACUGGAACUGAGACACGGUCAAGACUCCUACGGGAGGCAGCAGUGGGGAAUAUUGGACAAUGGGCGCAAGCCUGAUCCAGCCAUACCGCGUGGGUGAAGAAGGCCUUCGGGUUGUAAAGCCCUUUUGUUGGGAAAGAAAUCCAGCUGGCUAAUACCCGGUUGGGAUGACGGUACCCAAAGAAUAAGCACCGGCUAACUUCGUGCCAGCCGCCGCCGUAA